GGGACUUGAACCAACAACCUGCUGGCUUGUAGCAUAGGGCGUCAACUAUGCUACUGCGUGUCCUGCUAGAAUAAAGAUUAUGGAUGACGAAAUUUAAAUGUACUCCAUAAUUAGCAACUUAGCUCUUGAAGUGUACUCUAGUUACACACAACCCCUAAAGAGAUUUGCUGCUGGUGGCAAAGUAUCAAUACAUUCAGGAUUUUUCAUCACAUGCUAAGUCUUCUAUGUCUUCAUUAGCCAUUACCUGGCAACAGAUCUGAACGGUGUCCUCUGCUUACAUCCUUACCAGCUGGCAACUGUCUCACAAAUGAUUCAACUGUGAACUCUCAACUAACUUGUGGCAUCACUACCCAUCACUGACUACUCAGUGGCUCUCACUGGCCAUCAACUACUACUGACUGUAACUGCUGAUGGUAACUCAGGUUGGCGAAUAGAAACCACUGUCUCCAGUUUUUCUACUGUUGCAUGUUUACUGUGUGUAGUAAAGGCAAUGAUAUCAUAGUGUGUUUACUGUGCAAUGGAUGAUGUCUCUUGUUAAGCUUGUCAAUCACAUCAGAAUAUAUGAAACUAUACUUUU